CAGGUCUCCUCUGGCUACCAUAACACCAUCAGAUGCCAUAACAAUGUCUUGCAGAUUAUCCAAAGAAUCAAUGCUCUCUAUCUUUGCAAUGACAGCAACUUCACUGCAGUGAGUAGCACAUAAUUGUAAACUAUAAAUAGAUGCAUCUGGGCUGUGCUUUGGUUGCAUAUGGAGAUCUUCGUGGUUUCAAUUGCCACAUGAGAUUUCUGGGUUAGAUGUUCUUGGUUUUCCAGAUUCUUCAAAGAGAAGAAGAGAGUGAUCUUUUCUCAGUGUUUUCUGAAGGGAUUUCAGAGUUGUGCUGAAGGGAUUUCAGCCCUUCUUCUAAGGGAGUUAGAAAUGCAGAAAGUUAAGUGGGAGAUUCAACUCAGGAUAAAUUGUAAAUCUUGCUAUGAGUUUUAGAUUGUU